rnacentral:rRNA from 1 species
CACGUAGGAGGCGAACGUUAUCCGGAUUUACUGGGCGUAAAGCGCGUGUAGGUGGUUCUGUAAGUAGGGCGUGAAAGCUCCCGGCUCAACUGGGAGAGGCCGUUCUAAACUGCAGAGCUAGAGGAUGGUAGAGGGAGGUGGAAUUCCAGGUGUAGCGGUGGAAUGCGCAGAUAUCUGGAGGAACACCAGUGGCGAAGGCGGCCUCCUGGACCAUUCCUGACACUCAGACGCGAAAGCUAGGGGUAGCAAACGGGAUUAGAUACCCGGGUAGUCCCU